rnacentral:rRNA from 1 species
CAGUAGCCACGGGAAUACGAAGGGGGCUAGCGUUGUUCGGAAUUACUGGGCGUAAAGCGCACGUAGGCGGAUAUUUAAGUCAGGGGUGAAAUCCCAGAGCUCAACUCUGGAACUGCCUUUGAUACUGGGUAUCUUGAGUAUGGAAGAGGUGAGUGGAAUUCCGAGUGUAGAGGUGAAAUUCGUAGAUAUUCGGAGGAACACCAGUGGCGAAGGCGGCUCACUGGUCCAUUACUGACGCUGAGGUGCGAAAGCGUGGGGAGCAAACAGGAUUAGAUACCCGCGUAGUCCCUGUCUCUUAUAC